AUAAGAAUAGAAGCUUGCAGGCGCCACGUUGCAAGUGGCAACACAUAUGAAUGAGAGCUCUUCCGUGUAAAAAUAGAAAGAAACAUUUAUUACAGACAAGGGGUUGUGAAAUCUGGCUACAGUGACUUUCACAUGCACCACCCUAAAUGUAGAAAUUAUAGCCUAUGUAUCAGUGCUCCUACUGUCUACUGAUGCAUCUUCAAAUGAACAGUAGAAAACAACACGUGUCGUAAUGAAGACCAUGAAAAGAGGAUUACCCCACAGCCGCCUCUCUGGGGAACCGUGACACUGUAGGGAUGGAUGCUGUGUGAGCUGGUACCCCAUGGCCUUCUGUUGCCUUCCACAUUAAUCACAUUCAUCCAUUUGGUUUGAGUGUCCGCACUUCACCGCAGCAGCAGAAUACGACGUCAGCCUGGUGGUGGUGGCACACUCUUGGCUGCCUCAGUGCUGGCGUCUCCCCUGGGCAGUCGCAUGGCUCCUGUCCCCCCUGCAUCUCCCUGCAGCUGGAGCU
rnacentral:lncRNA from 1 species